CGAGUCGGUCGGGCGAUCGCUUUUCAGUCACUCUCGAGUGAUUGAAGGGAGGAAAGUCCGGGCUCCACAGGGCAGGGUGCCAGGUAACACCUGGGGGGCGCGAGCCUACGGAAAGUGCAACAGAAAGUAUACCGCCCCGCUACUCACCCGUGUGAAGGUUUCACUAUUGCGGUGGCGUUCACAGGGGUGAGUAGCGGGGUAAGGGUGAAAAGGUGCGGUAAGAGCGCACCGCGCGGCUGGUAACAGGCGCGGCGAUGGUAAACCCCACUCGGAGCAAGACCAAAUAGGAAUCCGUUAGCUGUGGCCCACAGUGGAUUCGGGUAGGUCGCUACAGGCAGGUGGUGACACCUGUCGCAGAUGAAUGAUCGUCCACGACAGAACCCGGCUUAUCGACCGACUCGUUUA
rnacentral:RNase_P_RNA from 1 species